AGAGUUUGAUCCUGGCUCAGAAUCAACGCUGGCGGCGUGCCUAACACAUGCAAGUCGAACGAGAAAGUGGAGCAAUCCAUGAGUAAAGUGGCGACCGGGUGAGUAACACGUGACUAACCUACCUUCGAGUGGGGGAUAACAUCGGGAAACCGAUGCUAAUACCGCAUAACAUCGCAAGAUCAAAGCAGCAAUGCGCUGGAAGAGGGGGUCGCGGCUGAUUAGCUAGUUGGCGGGGUAACGGCCCACCAAGGCGAAGAUCGGUAGCCGGCCUGAGAGGGCGCACGGCCACACUGGAACUGAAACACGGUCCAGACUCCUACGGGAGGCAGCAGUGGGGAAUUUUGCGCAAUGGGGGAAACCCUGACGCAGCAACGCCGCGUGGAGGAUGAAGCCCCUUGGGGCGUAAACUCCUUUCGACCA
rnacentral:rRNA from 1 species